rnacentral:rRNA from 12 species
UCCGGUCGCGUUGAAGAGCCCCGCGUAGAGCGACACGUUGUGCGAGCUGCCGCAGUUGUCGAUCUUCACCUCGUCGA